UACAUUUUUAGCUUUUAAUCUCAAAAUAGCAAUUUCUUAUCAUUUAGCUUUGAAUUAAUUAUUUAUGUUUAGGUUAAAAAAUAUAAUUUACAAAUUAAAUUUUAGUCUAGGGUUUUUAAUUAAAUUUAGUAGUUAUAAAAAAAUCAAGAAAAAGGAUAAAAAAAACAAAUAAAAAGGGGGAAAACUUUGACUAAAAUUCGAAAUUGGGCCAAUUUAAUGUCUGAGCCCAAAUAAUUCAAUACCCCUCCCCUUUCACAUAAACCCAGCCCCGCCAUCACCCACCCAUAUAUAAUAUUACUUAUAACAUCCACCAAAAACCCUAAACCUAAUCUCUAUAACACCCCAAACGGCGCACAUCCCAUCUCCGCCUCUGCCUCGCCCGAACUCACCCCAAACCCGCCUGAAACUCAGGCGAGUUCACCCCAAAUCUCACCUCACAUGCUUCCUCCUCCCUCCUCUUGCCACAUAGUGUAACUAACUCUGACAGCAAGAAGAUUCCCUCAAUCACUCGCCCGUUUGCAAGCUAAAUCACACGUUAGAAGGCUCUAGAAGGCGUGUGUUAGAUGAGUGAAAGGCAUCAGAUCGAUUUCAUUCAAUCCAAGCCUCACAUUCAUCAUGUGCUCGUUUUCAAAGGAGUUUUUAUCCGAUUUCUUGAAGAGGAAGAAAGAAUCUGGAGGUAAGGGUAUAUAUAAAGGAUUUUCGGUUAAAAGAAAAAGAAGAAGAAAGUUAGGAAGAGAUUGGAGAUCAGAAAUUCCUUUUAUUUGAAAGAAAGUGAGGUUUUUAGUGUGGAUUUUCUAACUUUCUCUUCUUCUAAUUUCGUUCAUAUAAGAAAAUAAACAGAAAGAAAAAUUUCUGGGAUUCUUUUUUUCUCUUUGCUCAAAUCUGAAAAUGUAUUGUAGUUCCUGAUUUCUGAGUUUUUCUUUUGGAGUUGAUUUGAACUCGAGGUGGAUUUCGAUUAAACACUAUUGAUUUUGAGUAUUUUUUGGUGGUUGUUUGUCGGUUCGCGGUUUAGUUUGGUUUCCACGAUUUGGGUUUGGCCGUCGAAAUUGUAUUCAUUGUCAUUUUCUGAUUUUGUUAAAGUUUUAGCUAAACAGGUUCAUAUUCCCUUUUCAUUUUGUUUACAACUAUGUCUGGAAUCGAUUCAUGCCUGAGCUAGCCUAAAAAUGAUGUCUAAAAAUUUGUUUACCUCUUCUUGAUGCGAGUUACAUUUUUGUGUCUGAUUUGUGUGCUCCUGUUGAUUGGUAAUGUUUACUCUGUUCAAGUUUCUUUACUUGCUUUAUAAUAUAAGAUUUAUAUGCUAAUUUUUCCUUUAAAUCUUUCUUAUUAAAAUGCUGAUUGGUUUGUUAGCUUUGAAUUCAUAGGCAUAGACGUUUUUUUUCUUUUCUGUUGUUGUUUCUCUUUGGUCUAAUUAACACAAAAUGUUAUUAUUUUUUAUCAUUAUUUUUCUUGUUGGUGUCUAGUUGGUAUUUUUAAUUAACAUAUGUUAGCUUCUUGUUUUGUGGUAUUUUUGUGUUGUCAUGGUUGAGAGUAGUACCAAAAUGAUACUAUAAGUCUAGUCCAAAAAAAGGGGCGUCAAUACUGGGAUACUAUUUAUAUUCAUUUUAUGAAAGUUAGUUUGAGCUUUGUCCUUUGUUAAGGUUUUCAAAAACAAUCAGAUUCUAAUUCUAAAGGAGUUGAUUUUGGGUUUAAAAUUUUGAAUGGCCAGUAUCAUAUUUUGUUCGAUCCUUUGUUAUUCUAGUAUUCUUAGUCUUAUAUCGUGCAUUUUGGAUGUUUACAUAUCUCGAUAUCACAUUUGUCAUGAUCGGUAUAUAUUUGUUUUGAAUGACCGUGGGAUCGUGGGGAGUGAUAGAAAGGCCGAAGCCCAUUAGCAAUUAAUUUAUUCCAUAUUUUAGGUAUCGGGUUCAGCCGGAUAAGAGAAAGGUUUAAAAGGGAAUGUUCAUGAAAUCUCGUUUAGUAAAAGUAUUCCAUAACCUUUUCACACACAAUUGCCGAAUUAAGUAUUACACGACUUAUAUACUCUCGUAGUUUGCUUUAGGCGCGAUUAAUAAUAAAUCAUCGUGGCUAUGGGUACGGUUCCUCUAACAUGGUUACGACACGUAAAUUCAAAUUCGGGUGCACAUUUCAUGUGACUCGACUAUACCUUCACAUCUUUAAUAAUAAAAUAAACAUAUCGCAAACCACGGGUGCAUUUUAUGUAGCGUGGUUUACGGUGUGUUCCUAAACAAAUCAGUGUACGACGAUUGUGAUUUAUUCUAUAAACAUUAAAAGCAAUUUAAAAAGUUAGAAAUUCACCAUAAGUUUAAAUAAGUGAUUAAUCAGAUAAUUAGGUCAAUUACUAAUAGUUGAGAGACCGUGUUAAAACCACAGAACCUGGGAAUGCCUAACACCUUCUCCCCGGUUAACAUAACUCCUUACCCGAAUUUCUGUAUUUUGCGGACUGUAAAAUAGAGUCAAAACUUGCAAGUAAAUUCUGUAUUUCGAGGCCUUAUAAGCCUCCUUUUUCCUCACCUCGAUUUGCAUACAUGGUCCGGGCGUAUAUCCGGAAUGCUUUUAUGUGGAAAUUUGAUGAAAAUAUUAAUUUGGCCUUUAAAAUUUAAUUUAAGUGAACUUUGGUCAACAUUUUGGGUAAACGAAUCCGAACCCAUGAUUUAACGGUCCUGGAGGGUCCGUAGGAAAAUAUGGAACUUGGGCAUAUGCCCGGAAUUGAAUUCCGAGGUCCCAAGCCCGAGAAAUGAAUUUUUGAAGAAAAUUAUUUAACUGAAAUUUUAAGGGUUUUUGGAAAUUUGAAUGUAUUUGAAAUUGAUGGUAUCGGGCCCAUAUCUUAGUACUGGAGCCUGGUACAAGUCUUAUAUGGUGUUUAGAUUGAGCCUGUAAAAUUUGGUAAGAAACAGACUUGAAAUGACGUGAAUCGGACCCUCAGUUGUGAAAUUUGAAACUAAGUGUUCUUGAGAUUUUUCUUUGAUUUUGAUGCUAAAUUCAUUGUUAAAGCUUUUAAUUUGGCGAUUUGAUUGCACAGUAAGUUCAUAGGAUGUUUUUGAGUUAGUAUGCAUGUUUGGUUUGGAGCCCUGAGGGCUCGGGUGAGUUUCGGAAGGUUUUUAUACUUGGGAAAAGUUGCAGGUUUUCAGUUUCUAGUAUUCUGGAGUUUUGUUCUUCGCGUUCGCGGAAAGACUCUUGUGAAUGCGAAGGGUAAGUCAGGCUGAAGGACAAUUCCUUUUAUGCAAAUGCAAGAAACAGGACGCGAAUGCAAAGCAUUGGGGGUGCUACCCUUCGCGAGCGCGGACCUGCUAUCGCGAACGCGAAGGCCUUUUGGCCGAGACAAGGGAAAGGGAUUUCUUUUCUACAUGAACGCGGCCACUGGCCCGCAAACGUGAGCCACUAAAUGCGAACGCAAAGGCAACUGGGCCUAACCCUUCGUGAAUACGACAGGCCCUUCGCGAACGCGAAGAAGACCUGCCCUGUGAAUUAAAAACAGUAGCAAAUCAGAAUUGAGUCCAUAACUUCAUAUUUUCAAAACUAGAGAGCAGUGAGGCGAUUUUCAAUGAACAAGUUCUUUCCCAAAGCAUUGAUAUAUGAUUCUAAACCUUUUUUCUUUCGAUUUCCCAUUGCAUUUCAUCAAUUUUCAUCCAAAAAUCUAGGGUUUUUAUGGUAGAAAUUAGGAAUUUGGGUAGAGUUAGGGCUUUUUGAAUAAUUAGAAUUUAGACCUCGUUUUGGGGUCGGAUUUCAAAACUAAUUGCAUAUUUGGGCUCGUGGGUGAAUGGGUGAUCGAGUUUUUGUCCGAACCUCGAGUUUCGAUCUAGCGGGCCCAGGGUCAAUUUAUGACCUUUUGGGAAAAAUGAUAGAAAAUCUAUAAUUAAGCAUUGGGUAUGAAUUCNNNNNNNNNNNNNNNNNNNNNNNNNNNNNNNNNNNNNNNNNNNNNNNNNNNNNNNNNNNNNNNNNNNNNNNNNNNNNNNNNNNNNNNNNNNNNNNNNNNNNNNNNNNNNNNNNNNNNNNNNNNNNNNNNNNNNNNNNNNNNNNNNNNNNNNNNNNNNNNNNNNNNNNNNNNNNNNNNNNNNNNNNNNNNNNNNNNNNNNNNNNNNNNNNNNNNNNNNAUUGCUAUGUGUUAAUCGUGGAGUACGAUGUAUAGGCAUGGUGACGAGUAUCUAUACGUCGGUGUCAAGCAAGCCCGUGGGUCUAGUGUUGUAAUUGUUGUGACUCCGUUGAGAUUUAUUCAUGCUUAAUAUGUUGAUUAUCAUUUUUGGUUCCCUUGCCAGGAUGUUAUUGUUUAUGAUAUUGUCUCCCUUGUCGGGAUGUUAUUGGUUAUGAUAUUGUCUCCUUUGUCGCGAUGUAUUAUUUACUAUAUCGUCUCCUUUGCCGGGAUAUUGUUGUUGUACUCUUGUGCCCUUGCUGGGAUUCUUUGUGAUUGAUGUUGAUUUGUAAAUAGGAUAGGGUGGCAUGCCGCCAAGGUGAUAUUGGAAAUGGGAUCGGGUUGCACGCCUACAACAAGAUAUAUGAAAUGGGAGCGGGUGGCACACUGCCACAAUGAUAUAUGAAAUGGGAUCGGGUUGCACGACUGCAACGAGAUAUAUGAAAUGGGAUCGGAUUGCACGCUUGUAACAAGGUAUGCGAAAUGGGAUCGGGUGGCACGCCGUGACGGUAAUAUUUGAAAUGGGAUCUGGUUGCACGCCUGCAACAACAAAGAGAUGAAAGGGAAUACUGUGUUUGUUUUCUUAUUAUUGCGAGUAAUUGAAUUUUUGGUUUCCAUACACUCCUCUUUGGUAUUAUGUUAUUAUCUGAUACUCCCCGCAACAUGUUAUUCUCCCUCCCAUCUUUACUGUGAAUAUCUGAUUUUAUUUUCCACUGUAUAUGAUUUAACUGCACAAAUUUAUUUGGUAGUCUGGUCCUAGCCUCGUCACUACUUCGUUGAGGUUAGGCUAAGCACUUACCAGUACAUGGGAUCGGUUGUGCUGAUACUACACUCUGCAAUGUGUGCAGAUACUGGUACCGGAGCAUUUGGACCAUAGUGAGGUUGCUGCCUUCAGUCCAACAGGCGACCCGAGGUAGUCCUGCAAGCGUCCGCGGGCCUUGGCGUCUCCUUCUAUCAUUUCUUUUCUGUUUUUACUUAUUCAGAGACAGAUUCGUGUAUUUCCAUUCAGACUUUAUUUGUAGUAUUCUUAGACAGUCUGUGAAAUUAUGAGACCAAAUUCUGGGUACAGUUGUAUUUAGACUUCCGCAGUUUAUAUUAAGUUAAAUUAUCAGAUUUCGUCUCC
rnacentral:lncRNA from 1 species